rnacentral:rRNA from 1 species
GAUGAACGCUGGCGGCGUGCUUAACACAUGCAAGUCGAACGGAAAGGCCCAAGCUUGCUUGGGUACUCGAGUGGCGAACGGGUGAGUAACACGUGGGUGAUCUGCCCUGCACUUCGGGAUAAGCCUGGGAAACUGGGUCUAAUACCGGAUAGGACGAUGGUUUGGAUGCCAUUGUGGAAAGUUUUUUCGGUGUGGGAUGAGCUCGCGGCCUAUCAGCUUGUUGGUGGGGUAAUGGCCUACCAAGGCGUCGACGGGUAGCCGGCCUGAGAGGGUGUACGGCCACAUUGGGACGGAGAUACGGCCCAGAGUCCUACGGGAGGCAGCAGUGGGGAAUAUUGCACAAUGGGCGCAAGCCUGAGGCAGCGACGCCGCGUGGGGGAUGACGGCCUUCGGGUUGUAAACUCAUAUCGCUAGGGACGAAGCGUUUUUGUGACGGUACCUGGAGAAGAAGCACCGGCUAACUACGUG